rnacentral:tmRNA from 2 species
GACUGGAUUUGACAGCGGGUCGGAGCCCCAAGCAAGCAUGCAGUGCGCCUGAAAGUGGGCACUAUAAUCUCGGCUUUCGAAAAUUUAAUUGGCGAAAAUAAAUACGCUCUCGCUGCUUGAUUGAAGUAUAGUAGAUCAUCUUAAUCUCUGCCAACGAAGCGCGGAGACGAGACAUCACGCUCGACGCUCUUUUUCCGAAGCAGUUGAAGCAAAUGUGGUGCCAUCCGUAUCGGAGAUAGCCUUCUGUCGGCCUCGCGUCGGGAGGUGAAAUCAUUUCGGGGAUAAGGUCGAUACCCGUGGCUUUGGUCGGGUGCGGCACGAAAACACAAGCAAAGCUAAGCAUGUAGAAACCUUGUAGUUACCCCGUUUGGACGAGGGUUCAAUCCCCUCCUGGUCCAC